GACGAACGCUGGCGGCGUGCCUAAUACAUGCAAGUAGAACGCUGAAGAGAGGAGCUUGCUCUUCUUGGAUGAGUUGCGAACGGGUGAGUAACGCGUAGGUAACCUGCCUUGUAGCGGGGGUAACUAUUGGAAACGAUAGCUAAUAACGCAUAACAAUUGAUGACCCCUGUUAUUUAUUUGAAAGGGGCAAAUGCUCCACUACAAGAUGGAACUGCGUUGUAUUAGCUAGUAGGUGAGGUAACGGCUCACCUAGGCGACGAUACAUAGCCGACCUGAGAGGGUGAUCGGCCACACUGGGACUGAGACACGGCCCAGACUCCUACGGGAGGCAGCAGUAGGGAAUCUUCGGCAAUGGGGGCAACCCUGACCGAGCAACGCCGCGUGAGUGAAGAAGGUUUUCGGAUCGUAAAGCUCUGUUGUAAGUCAAGAACGAGUGUGAGAGUGGAAAGUUCACACUGUGACGGUAGCUUACCAGAAAGGGACGGCUAACUACGUG
rnacentral:rRNA from 1 species